rnacentral:lncRNA from 1 species
AAAGAUAGGAUGUGGUGCAGUGGCCAGCAGCGUAUUGGGAAGUUGGAGGGCUAGAGUUCGAGUAGUGGCAAGCGCAAAAGGGAGUUUAAUUUUGCUACUCAACACAAGGGAGGAUUGCUAUUCGGUGGAAGAAAUUUAAAUGCAAUUCAAAUUGGAAUUGUUUGCUAAAAUCAAGGGGAUUAGGAUGAGGAUUAAGUGCGGAUAUGAUGAUGAUAAAAAUUGGAGAAAUUGAAGGGAAUUUAACUGGACGAGUUUAAGUCGAUUGGGGAGUGUA